UGGGGAAUCUUGGACAAUGGGGGCAACCCUGAUCCAGCGACGCCGCGUGGGUGACGAAGGCCUUAGGGUUGUAAAGCCCUUUUCUCGGGGAAGAUGAUGACGGUACCCGAGGAAUAAGCACCGGCUAACUCCGUGCCAGCAGCCGCGGUAAGACGGAGGGUGCUAGCGUUGUUCGGAAUUACUGGGCGUAAAGGGCGCGUAGGCGGCCCGGCAAGUCGGAUGUGAAAGCCCGGGGCUCAACCUCGGAACGGCAUUCGAAACUGCUGGGCUCGAGAACGGAAGAGGAGAGUGGAAUACCCAGUGUAGAGGUGAAAUUCGUAGAUAUUGGGUGGAACACCGGUGGCGAAAGCGGCUCUCUGGUCCGGGUCUGACGCUGAGGCGCGAAAGCGUGGGGAGCAAACA
rnacentral:rRNA from 1 species